GGAAGGGUGGGUGAGUGGCUGAAACCAGUGGAUUGCUAAUCCGCCGUGCUCCUAUAAGGGGUACCGAGGGUUCGAAUCCCUCCCCUUCCGCCA
rnacentral:tRNA from 1 species